GAGUUUUGAUCAUGGCUCAGGAUGAACGCUAGCUACAGGCUUAACACAUGCAAGUCGAGGGGAAACGACAUCGAAAGCUUGCUUUUGAUGGGCGUCGACCGGCGUACGGGUGAGUAACGCGUAUCCAACCUGCCCACCACGUUGGGGAUAACCUUGCGAAAGUAAGACUAAUACCCAAUGAUAUCUCUAGAAGACAUCUGAAAGAGAUUAAAGNUUUAUCGGUGAUGGAUGGGGAUGCGUCUGAUUAGCUUGUUGGCGGGGUAACGGCCCACCAAGGCAACGAUCAGUAGGGGUUCUGAGAGGAAGGUCCCCCACAUUGGAACUGAGACACGGUCCAAACUCCUACGGGAGGCAGCA
rnacentral:rRNA from 1 species